rnacentral:rRNA from 1 species
GCAGCAGUGGGGAAUUUUGGACAAUGGGCGCAAGCCUGAUCCAGCAAUGCCGCGUGCAGGAAGAAGGCCUUCGGGUUGUAAACUGCUUUUGUCAGGGAAGAAAUCUUCUGGGCUAAUACCCCGGGAGGAUGACGGUACCUGAAGAAUAAGCACCGGCUAACUACGUGCCAGCAGCCGCGGUAAUACGUAGGGUGCGAGCGUUAAUCGGAAUUACUGGGCGUAAAGCGUGCGCAGGCGGUUAUGUAAGACAGAUGUGAAAUCCCCGGGCUCAACCUGGGAACUGCAUUUGUGACUGCAUGACUGGAGUGCGGCAGAGGGGGAUGGAAUUCCGCGUGUAGCAGUGAAAUGCGUAGAUAUGCGGAGGAACACCGAUGGCGAAGGCAAUCCCCUGGGCCUGCACUGACGCUCAUGCACGAAAGCGUGGGGAGCAAACAGGAUUAGAUACCCUGGUAGUCCACGCCCUAAACGAUGUCAACUGGUUGUUGGACGGCUUGCUGUUCAGUAACGAAGCUAACGCGUGAAGUUGACCGCCUGGGGAGUACGGCCGCAAGGUUGAAACUCAAAGGAAAUUG